UAGUACCUGGAAUGUACGACAACUUCUGAUAUUUUGAACCUACACUUUUUGAAUGGGAUUCCUAUAUAUAUGAAAGAAUGUCAUGCCUUCAUUGCAGAGGAAGAUUGCAUUUCAUAUGCGGUUGCCCACCUAGCUGAUCGCUAGGACUCAAAAUUCAGGAACCGGCAUUUUGGGUAUAUU
rfam:Clostridium sp. CAG:75 genomic scaffold, scf451